rnacentral:rRNA from 1 species
AUAUACAGCCUUAAAUACGCUAAAGAUACCAGAUCCCAUCUGAUCAUGGAAGCUAAGCAGGGUCAGCACUGGUUAGUACUUGGAUGGAAGGCUGCCAACAAAUACCAGGUGCUGUAUGGU